rnacentral:rRNA from 1 species
GUCCUAGCUGUAAACGGUGCACGUUUGCUGUAAGAGGAAUCGACCCCUUUUGUGGCGAAGCUAACGCGAUAAACGUGCCGCCUGGGGAGUACGGUCGCAAGAUUAAAACUCAAAGAAAUUGACGGGGGCCUGCACAAGCGGUGGAGUAUGUGGCUUAAUUCGAUGCAACGCGAAGAACCUUACCUGGCCUUUACAUGCACGUAGUAGGAGCGUGAAAGCGUAACGAACCCGCAAGGGUAGCGUGCACAGGUGCUGCAUGGCUGUCGU